AAUCAACGCUGGCGGCGUGCCUCAGACAUGCAAGUCGAACGCGAAAGGUUCCUUCGGGGACCGAGUAGAGUGGCGCACGGGUGAGUAACACGUAGGUAAUUUGCCUUUGGGUGGGGAAUAACUCAGGGAAACUUGAGCUAAUACCGCAUAAUGCAGCGGCUCGACAUCGAGACAGUUGUUAAAGCGGGGGAGUUCGCAAGAACCUCGCGCCUAAAGAGAAGCCUGCGGCAGAUAGUCUAGUUGGUAAGGUAAUGGCUUACCAAGGCGACGAUCUGUAACCGGCCUGAGAGGGCGGUCGGUCACACUGACACUGACAUACGGGUCAGACUCCUACGGGAGGCAGCAGUCGGGAAGUUUUGGG
rnacentral:rRNA from 1 species